CCUACGUGAGGCAGCAGUGAGGAAUAUUGGUCAAUGGGCGCGAGCCUGAACCAGCCAAGUAGCGUGAAGGAUGACUGCCCUACUGGUUGUAAACUUCUUUUAUAAAGGAAUAAAGUGAGGCACGUGUGCCUUUUUGUAUGUACUUUAUGAAUAAGGAUCGGCUAACUCCGUGCCAGCAGCCGCGGUAAUACGGAGGAUCCGAGCGUUAUCCGGAUUUAUUGGGUUUAAAGGGAGCGUAGAUGGGUUGUUAAGUCAGUUGUGAAAGUUUGCGGCUCAACCGUAAAAUUGCAAUUGAUACUGGCAGUCUUGAGUACAGUUGAGGUAGGCGGAAUUCGUGGUGUAGCGGUGAAAUGCUUAGAUAUCACGAAGAACUCCGAUUGCGAAGGCAGCUUACUAAACUGCCACUGACAUUGAUGCUCGAAAGUGUGGGUAUCAAACAGGAUUAGAUACCCCAGUAGUC
rnacentral:rRNA from 1 species